UGGCCAGCACCAAUAGAGGCUGCAGAGCAAUAGGUGUAAGUUGGCAUUUAUAUAUUUGCCAGUUUAAAAAUACAUCAUAGAUAAGGCAAUGAGAAGAGUUUUAAGGACAAUUAGUGAUAUCUUUUGGGUCAAGCAUGAGCGUUUUUGGGUAACGUGCUUGCUUCUCUAACAUAUACUGUGUAGCUUGGUGGAGGUGCCAGCAGCCGAGUCCUUGCAGAUGGGAUGACUCGUGGCCCAGUUGUGCGUCUUCCACGUGCUUGUGACUCUGCAGAAGUGAAAGCCUGGCUUGAAACAUCUGAAGGGUUCGCAGUGAUAAAGGAGGCAUUUGACAGCACUAGCAGAUUUGCACGUCUACAGAAACUUCAUACAAGUAUAGCUGGACGCAACCUUUAUAUCCGUUUCCAGUCCAGGUCAGGGGAUGCCAUGGGGAUGAAUAUGAUUUCAAAGG
rnacentral:sRNA from 1 species